rnacentral:lncRNA from 10 species
ACUGGCUCAAGCCGGUAGCCAGAGAUAGGAAUUUACAGGCAUCUCUUUGUCAUGCAGACUGGGCUCCCCACUUUCCCACUGUUUCUUUUAAAUGGACUAUUCAGGCAAUUGCCUGUGAGCUUAGAGUGACAUACACCCUAUUCCCUUAAAUGUACUACUGGUAGUCAUGUGCUCACUAUCUCUGCCUUACUCUUGAUUCCUGCCUCCAGUGAACCCAGGAUGAAGGAGUGUUUCGACUCAUCUGACUCAUUAUGCCUUCUUUGCCCUGGAUCUUACACAGAAAUGCUCUCCAUACCUUGCCACUGCUGCUGGGAAGGAACAGGGGAGGAGUGACAUUGAGAUUCAAGACUAUUUUUCCUACCUCUUCAGUGCCUCUUUCAGCCAUAUGAAGUUAAAACCAGGUAAUGGGAGAAGAGGAGAGUAAAAGUGAAGAAGAAAGAGGCAAAACAAGUGACUAGACCACACGCUGAACAAGUUGUAGCUCUCAUUUACUUUUCAGAGAAUGUAAAAUGUUACAACUGCUUUGGAUAACAGUUUGGCAAUUUCUUUAAAAGUUAAGCAUAUAUAUAUAUAUAUAUAUAUAUAUAUAAUCAUAUAAUCUAGCCAUUUCACACAUCAGAAUUUACCCUCAUCCCCAAAUAAAAGCACAAAGAUGUGAAUGCCCAUAGCAGCUGCAUGUGUAAUAACUCAAAACUAUAAAAAACUCAAACACUCAUCAACAGUGAAUAAUUAAACAAAUUGUUUACAUUGCAAAAACAUUAUCAGUUGAAAGGAAUGAGCUACUGGUAGCAGCAACAAGGUACACAAAUCUAGAAAUAAUUAUGCUGAGGAAGAGAAGCCAGAAAAAUAUAAUAUAUAUUAUAUUAUCUCAUAUAUAUUAAAGAAUAGAGAAUGCAAACUAAUCUAUAGUGACAGAAAACAAAUCAGUGGCAAUCUGGGAAUGAGGGUAAGGGGUAAGAGGAAGGGAUUAAAAUGGGGCAUGAGUAAAAUUUUGGAAGUGAUAAGUAUAUUUAUUAUCUUGACUGGUUAUGGUUUUACAGAUACAUACUUAACGGUGAAAACUGGCAGAUUGUACAUUUUAAUAUGCAUAGUUUAUGAAAUGUCAAUUAUAUCUCAAUAAAUAUUAAGAUUAUAUAAGAAUAAUCUAGAGAAAUAAAACAUUUUUAAAAAAAUUAUAGUAAGAGUUGUUCUCUAACCAUUGUAGUUAAUCAGUUUUACUAAAGAAUAACCACAUAUAAAACCUUGUUCCCUUAUUUACAGAAAGUUUCUCCCGUACAGUUUGUACACUGUCUAUUCAUGUGAGCUAAUGCUUUAAAAAUUAACAUAUUAAUUUUCCUAUAUUAUAUGAACCUAGUGUUUUAUCCCAAUAAAUUAAUCAUCACAUUUUCUUUAUAGGUGUUUUUUUGUGGAAAAAAUUUAAUCAACCCAUAUCAUUUUUGUGUGCGAUCUUUCCUUAGUGAACAUUAAAUCUAAUCAUUUGUUAUUUGCAUUUGAAGUAAUUAUUUUAACAUGGGCUCUUUCCUAAGCACUUUGAAAAUUAGUCCUCUAAAGCCUUUUGUUGUAUAUAACUUUCUCUCUUGUGUUUUGUAUAAUUAUUAUUAUAUAGUAGUAUAAUUUAAAGGGGAAAUGUGCAAUAAACCCAUAUGCUUUAUUAUUAAAAGUAGGUACUGUAAGUUUUACUCCUAUGCCAAUUGGAUGGAAGAUCAAGAGUUGUGAUGAUCGGGAGGCUGAGGCAGGAGAAUGGCAUGAACCAGGGGGGCAGAGCUUGCGGUGAGCCGAGAUCGCACCACUGCACUCCAGCCUGGGUGACAGAGCGAGACUGUGUCUCAAAAAAUUAAAAAAUAAUAAUAAAAUAAAAUAAUAAAAAAAGAGUUGUGAUGAUCAUUUUCAGUUUUUAGUUUAACUGAAGAUAACAGAAACAGUCCAGAAUGGUCAAACUUUGACAUUUAUUAAAACAUUUAGAGACACUAAAACAUACAAACAAUUUUUGGUGGUUAAGACCAUGUGCUCUGGAAUAAGAAAUUGGUAUUUAAAUUCUUUCUAUUUACUGUUACAUUUAAGGCUUUGUUUAAAUGUUUAUGUGUAAAAAGAUCAAAAGCACUUUCAUAUAUUUCUUUAAAUAAUGUAUGCCAUUCAAUUUUUGCCGAAAGAGAUAAUAAAUCAGAGCAGACAAUGAAGA